rnacentral:rRNA from 1 species
AGUCAAUAGAUACCCAGGUAGUCCCAGCAGUAAACGGUGCGCGUUUGGUGUGAGCAGAUUCGACUCUGUUCGCGCCGGAGCUAACGCGUUAAACGCGCCGCCUGGGAAGUACGAUCGCAAGAUUAAAACUCAAAGAAAUUGACGGGGGCCCGCACAAGCGGUGGAGUAUGUGGCUUAAUUCGAUGCAACGCGAAGAACCUUACCUGGGUUUGACAUGCAUCUCUAAGGAGGUGAAAGCUUCCGAGGGUAGCAAUACCCGACUUGCACAGGUGCUGCAUGGCUGUCGUCAGCUCGUGUCGUGAGAUGUUGGGUUAAGUCCCGCAACGAGCGCAACCCUUGUAUGCUGUUGCUAUGCUUACGCAUAGCUCUCUGCGUAGACUGCCCCGUGAAACGGGGAGGAAGGUGGGGAUGACGUCAAGUCAGCAUGGCCCUUACACCCAGGGCUGCACACGUACUACAAUGCUCAGUACAAUUAGAACCUGCCCCGCGAGGG